rnacentral:rRNA from 1 species
CACGUAGGGGGCAAGCGUUGUCCGGAUUUAUUGGGCGUAAAGCGCUCGUAGGUGGUUCGGUAAGUCGGGUGUUAAACCCCCAGGCUCAACCUGGGGACGCCACUCGAUACUGCUGUGACUAGAGUCCGGUAGGGGAGCGUGGAAUUCCUGGUGUAGCGGUGAAAUGCGCAGGUAUCAGGAGGAACACCAGCGGCGAAGGCGGCGCUCUGGGCCGGUACUGACACUGAGGAGCGAAAGCGUGGGUAGCAAACAGG